rnacentral:rRNA from 1 species
GAUGAACGCUGGCGGCGUGCCUAAUACAUGCAAGUCGAGCGAACGGACGAGAAGCUUGCUUUUCUGAUGUUAGCGGCGGACGGGUGAGUAACACGUGGAUAACCUACCUAUAAGACUGGGAUAACUUCGGGAAACCGGAGCUAAUACCGGAUAAUAUUUUGAACCGCAUGGUUCAAAAGUGAAAGACGGUCUUGCUGGCACUUAUAGAUGGAUCCGCGCUGCAUUAGCUAGUUGGUAAGGUAACGGCUUACCAAGGCAACGAUGCAUAGCCGACCUGAGAGGGUGAUCGGCCACACUGGAACGGGGACACGGUCCAGACUCCUACGGGAGGCAGCAGUAGGGAAUCUUCCGCAAUGGGCGAAAGCCUGACGGAGCAACGCCGCGUGAGUGAUGAAGGUCUUCGGAUCGUAAAACUCUGUUAUUAGGGAAGAACAUAUGUGUAAGUAACUGUGCACAUCUUGACGGUACCUAAUCAGAAAGCCACGGCUAACUACGUG